AAAUAAAAAUCUAGAGGAUUGAGCUAAACAAUCCGCUUUAAAUUACAUAAACGAGAAAUAUAAGAGAGAGAAAAGAGGGGAAAAGAGUCACGGAGCAAUCCAAAUUCAUCUAGCAUAUUGAAAAAGCGAACUAUUCUUCCGGAGACUGCACCAUCAAGACUAACCCUGUACAAUCUGUUUCAAACGCAUAAAUCCUAACAUUCAAUCAUUCUUGAAAGAUUAUUUUGCAUACCCCAAAUUAAUGCUUCCAUCUUCGAGUGAAGGGAUGGACACCCCCGAAGACACUUUGCACCAAGCAGUAUUGUUUGAUCAUUUUCUUGGAAACACCACCAUCUUACACCCAUAGUUGGAUCCAAAAAUUUCAAAGCAAUAUAGGUUUUU
rnacentral:lncRNA from 1 species